rnacentral:lncRNA from 1 species
GACCCUCGGCCCGCCUCUCUGAACAGAUGGGGAAACUGCGGAGGACUGGAAAUACGCCCUUGGGGCAGGCUUCCUCUGCCACCCGGGUGCCCGGGACGUUUCCUGGUCCCAGCUCUUGCACAGUCAAGAAGUAAUCUAGCAAGAAAUAUCAGCCCUGGGAGCCAAGGGAGGGAGAAUCACUGUCUCCAACUCCUACCCAGGAACGCACCAUUAAAAUCUCAACUAUAGGAACCCUUUAUCCCACGAGAGGGUUAAGUCCAGGCCAGAGGCAUGAACAAGGUGUCUAUUCUG